rnacentral:rRNA from 1 species
UAGGGAAUUUUGCGCAAUGGACGAAAGUCUGACGCAGCAACUCCGCGUGAGGGAUGAAGGUCUUCGGAUUGUAAACCUCUGUUGACAGGGAAGAAAAGCUUGAGGUAAUGCUCAAGUCUGACGGUACCUGUCGAGGAAGCACCGGCUAACUACGUGCCAGCAGCCGCGGUAAUACGUAGGGUGCAAGCGUUAUUCGGAAUUACUGGGUGUAAAGGGAGUGUAGGCGGGAGAGUAAGUUAGAAGUGAAAUGUACGGGCUCAACCUGUAACGUGCUUUUAAUACUGCUUUUCUUGAGUGUUGGAGAGGUAGAUGGAAUUCCUGGUGUAGCGGUGGAAUGCGUAGAUAUCAGGAAGAACACCAGUUGCGAAGGCGGUCUACUGGCCAAACACUGACGCUGAGGCUCGAAAGCUAGGGGAGCAAACAGG